GGACGAACGCUGGCGGCGUGCUUAACACAUGCAAGUCGAGCGGUAAGGCCCUUUCGGGGGUACACGAGCGGCGAACGGGUGAGUAACACGUGGGUGACCUGCCCUCAGCUCUGGGAUAAGCCUGGGAAACUGGGUCUAAUACUGGAUAUGACUCCACGGUGCAUGUCGUGGGGUGGAAAGCCUUGUGCGGCUGAGGAUGGGCCCGCGGCCUAUCAGCUUGUUGGUGGGGUGANGGCCUACCAAGGCGACGACGGGUAGCCGGCCUGAGAGGGCGACCGGCCACACUGGGACUGAGACACGGCCCAGACUCCUACGGGAGGCAGCAGUGGGGAAUCUUGCGCAAUGGGCGAAAGCCUGACGCAGCGACGCGCGUGA
rnacentral:rRNA from 1 species